CGGAGGGGGCGAGCGUUAUUCGGAAUUAUUGGGCGUAAAGGGCGCGUAGGCGGCACGAUAAGUCAAAGGUGAAAUCCCUCGGCUCAACUGAGGAACUGCCUUUGAAACUGUCGAGCUUGAGUCCGGGAGGGGGUAGCGGAAUUCCCAGUGUAGCGGUGAAAUGCGUAGAUAUUGGGAGGAACACCAGUGGCGAAGGCGGCUACCUGGACCGGAACUGACGCUGAUGCGCGAAAGCGUGGGUAGCAAACAGGAUUAGAUACCCUGGUAGUCCACGCUGUAAACGAUGGGUGCUCGGUGUCGCGGGUAUCGACCCCUGCGGUGCCUUAGCUAACGCGUUAAGCACCCCGCCUGGGGAGUACGGUCGCAAGGCUG
rnacentral:rRNA from 1 species